rnacentral:tRNA from 1 species
GGUGGGAUGGCGGAGCGGCUGAACGCGCCGGUCUUGAAAACCGGAGCACCUUAACAGGUGCCGUGGGUUCAAAUCCCACUCCCACCGCCA